AACGAACGCUGGCGGCAUGCCUAACACAUGCUAGUCGAACGAGACCUUCGGGUCUAGUGGCGCACGGGUGCGUAACGCGUGGGAACCUGCCCUUAGGUUCGGAAUAACUCCCCGAAAGGGGUGCUAAUACCGGAUAAUGUCUUCGGACCAAAGAUUUAUCGCCUUUGGAUGGGCCCGCGUUGGAUUAGCUAGUGGGUAGGGUAAAAGCCUACCAAGGCGACGAUCCAUAGCUGGUCUGAGAGGAUGAUCAGCCACACUGGGACUGAGACACGGCCCAGACUCCUACGGGAGGCAGCAGUGGGGAAUAUUGGACAAUGGGCGAAAGCCUGAUCCAGCAAUGCCGCGUGAGUGAUGAAGGCCUUAGGGUUGUAAAGCUCUUUUACCCGGGAUGAUAAUGACAGUACCGGGAGAAUAAGCUCCGGCUAACUCCGUG
rnacentral:rRNA from 1 species